AGGCUUUGAUCCUGGCUCAGGAUGAACGCUGGCGGCGUGCCUAACACAUGCAAGUCGAGCGAUUUUCUUCGGAGAAGAGCGGCGGACGGGUGAGUAACGCGUGGGUAACCUGCCCUGUACACACGGAUAACAUACCGAAAGGUAUGCUAAUACGGGAUAACAUAUUUUGAUGGCAUCAUCGAAAUAUCAAAGCUCUGGCGGUACAGGAUGGACCCGCGUCUGAUUAGCUAGUUGGUGAGGUAAUGGCUCACCAAGGCGACGAUCAGUAGCCGACCUGAGAGGGUGAUCGGCCACAUUGGAACUGAGACACGGUCCAAAC
rnacentral:rRNA from 1 species